AUUUAUAUAGUUUAAAUUAAAACAUUACAAUUUCAACGUAAAAAUAAAAUAAUAAUCUUUAUAAAUA
rnacentral:tRNA from 1 species